rnacentral:lncRNA from 1 species
CCACCCCAUCCCCAACCUUACUCUCACAUUACUUGCUCUAUUCAUUUUCUAUUGCUAUAUAACUAGUCACCACAAUGUAGAGGCUUAAAACAAUAUCAUAUGGUUAUUAUCUCAUGACUCUGUAGGUCAGAAAUCCAAGCAGGCUUGUCUGGGUUUUCUGUUUAAGGUCAGUAGGGGCAUAGAAUUCUGCCUCCCACACCUGCCUUCCUGCCAGCAGUGUCACAUCCACAAAAAUGAGAUUCAGAAGGAGGGGGUGUCUACACUAAAGCUGGGGGACAGAAGGUGGCAAAAGGGGAGCCUGUUGAGAUAAAGAGACAGAGUUGUGCCUGCAACGUCCAUGACCAACACUAAGAAACUGCUCCCAAAGGUCCAUGGACAUGAGAAAGACUCAAGGAGAUAGUUAUAAUCAGGAAGAAAGACAAUGGCGAAACAAAUACGGACCCAAACUCUGCAGUCACUGGGCUGGGCUCACUAGAUAAGGGAUAUCCUCUGAGGCUGGGGCCAGGAUGGAGAAUCACUGUGCUGAUUAAAUUGCCGUGGACAAAACAAAAUUACUUCAUUGGAAUCAAACCAAAACCUAGCCAUGACUAAAUCCUCAGAACAGUGAGGAUCUGGAGGGGUAGAUAUGUUAUUAAAGCUAUGCGAUGCAAGGAAAACUAGAGAGAAAAAAGGAAACAAGGAAGCAAGAGACACAUGGGAAAAGGGAGGAGGAGGAAAUGGUGGACUGGCUAUCUACAGAUGCUCUAACAACAUGGCAGCCUGCUUCUUCAAAGCUAACAGAAGAAUCUCUCACUCCUGACGCCGAAGAUUAUGAGUUUUAAAUACUGUAAGGUAAUUACGAGAGUGACAUAUCUAUAGUCUAUUCUGUUCUAUAUGCCCUACACUAUUCUAUUCUGCCCUGUUCUGUGUGAUUUUAUUCACAGUUGCCACAUUCCAUUGGCUAUAAGCAAGUCACUCAAAGAGAGGAGAUUAUAUAUUAAGGCUCUGUAUAAAGUGGUAUAUAUCAUUUUCUCUCAUUAAAAAUAAUUUUCUAUACUUGUGAUCAUUCUCUUCCAAUUCCUAAGGAUUUUUAUCUAUGCCUUUAUUUUUACUUAGAUAUUUUCAAAGAACUAUCUAGUUUUUACUAUGUAAUUAAUUUCUGUUUUAUCUUUACUCCCUUAACAUUUUUUUUGGAUUUAUGUAUAUUUUUUUCUUGUGCUUUUGACUUGGAUGCUUAAUUCAAAUUCAUUUACCUUUGAUCUUUCUAGUGUUCUGACAAAUGUAUUUAAUAGAAACACACACAUUAUCUUUCAGUACUGCUUUGGCUGCAUCCCACAGUUUUUUAAAAAUUAGUUAUUUUUUUUGGCCACACCCACGACAAG